UUGAACGCUGGCGGCAGGCCUAACACAUGCAAGUCGAACGGUAACAGGAAGCAGCUUGCUGCUUUGCUGACGAGUGGCGGACGGGUGAGUAAUGUCUGGGAAACUGCCUGAUGGAGGGGGAUAACUACUGGAAACGGUAGCUAAUACCGCAUAACGUCGCAAGACCAAAGAGGGGGACCUUCGGGCCUCUUGCCAUCGGAUGUGCCCAGAUGGGAUUAGCUUGUUGGUGGGGUAACGGCUCACCAAGGCGACGAUCCCUAGCUGGUCUGAGAGGAUGACCAGCCACACUGGAACUGAGACACGGUCCAGACUCCUACGGGAGGCAGCAGUGGGGAAUAUUGCACAAUGGGCGCAAGCCUGAUGCAGCCAUGCCGCGUGUAUGAAGAAGGCCUUCGGGUUGUAAAGUACUUUCAGCGGGGAGGAAGGGAGUAAAGUUAAUACCUUUACUCAUUGACGUUACCCGCAGAAGAAGCACCGGCUAACUCCGUGCCAGCAGCCGCGGUAAUACGGAGGGUGCAAGCGUUAAUCGGAAUUACUGGGCGUAAAGCGCACGCAGGCGGUUUGUUAAGUCAGAUGUGAAAUCCCCGGGCUCAACCUGGGAACUGCAUCUGAUACUGGCAAGCUUGAGUCUCGUAGAGGGGGGUAGAAUUCCAGGUGUAGCGGUGAAAUGCGUAGAGAUCUGGAGGAAUACCGGUGGCGAAGGCGGCCCCCUGGACGAAGACUGACGCUCAGGUGCGAAAGCGUGGGGAGCAAACAGGAUUAGAUACCCUGGUAGUCCACGCCGUAAACGAUGUCGACUUGGAGGUUGUGCCCUUGAGGCGUGGCUUCCGGAGCUAACGCGUUAAGUCGACCGCCUGGGGAGUACGGCCGCAAGGUUAAAACUCAAAUGAAUUGACGGGGGCCCGCACAAGCGGUGGAGCAUGUGGUUUAAUUCGAUGCAACGCGAAGAACCUUACCUGGUCUUGACAUCCACAGAACUUUCCAGAGAUGGAUUGGUGCCUUCGGGAACUGUGAGACAGGUGCUGCAUGGCUGUCGUCAGCUCGUGUUGUGAAAUGUUGGGUUAAGUCCCGCAACGAGCGCAACCCUUAUCCUUUGUUGCCAGCGGUCCGGCCGGGAACUCAAAGGAGACUGCCAGUGAUAAACUGGAGGAAGGUGGGGAUGACGUCAAAUCAUCAUGGCCCUUACGACCAGGGCUACACACGUGCUACAAUGGCGCAUACAAAGAGAAGCGACCUCGCGAGAGCAAGCGGACCUCAUAAAGUGCGUCGUAGUCCGGAUUGGAGUCUGCAACUCGACUCCAUGAAGUCGGAAUCGCUAGUAAUCGUGGAUCAGAAUGCCACGGUGAAUACGUUCCCGGGCCUUGUACACACCGCCCGUCACACCAUGGGAGUGGGUUGCAAAAGAAGUAGGUAGCUUAACCUUCGGGAGGGCGCUUACCACUUUGUGAUUCAUGACUGGGGUG
rnacentral:rRNA from 1 species